AUGAUACUCCCUCCGUCCGAAUUUUUUUGUCUUAGAUUUGUCUAGAUAUGGAUAUAUCAAGUCACGUUUUAGUAUUAGAUACACCCGUAUCUAGACAAAUCUAAGACAAGAAUUUUGGGACACAGAAUAUUUU
rnacentral:pre_miRNA from 1 species